UAUUGGUAUGGGACAAUUAGGAAAAAUUUGGGACCAAAAGGUGAUAAAUUGGAAGUGGAAAAUCAUCCACAAAUUCCAUGUGGGCUGAGCAUAGUGGAUUGUGGUGCCCACACAAUUUGUGUCAUCUUUUGAGUGGAACAACUCUUUAAUGUGGGCCAAGGGACAAUUGUGCAAUUCAUUAAGUGAUAAAAAGAUAACCACAAUUCAUUUACUUCAUUCUCCACUUGAACAAAAAAAAAAAAAAAAAAAAGAAGAAGAGAAAGAAGCUCCCUCCAUUGAAGCUCACGGACAAGAAGGCCAAAAAUCAUCCCCUCUUUUUAGCUCCUCUAAAAUUAUUCCAUUGAUGUAAACCCACUAUAUUGAGGUCCCUAAGUAGCGUGGAAGCAUCGUUGGAGCGAUCAACCCAUUAUUUUCAUCUUUUGGAAACCCUAGGCUAUUGGAAAGUUGAAGAAGGAAGACCUUGGGCAGCCCGAAUCAUAGGUUGGAUUUAUCUUGAGUUGGAUCAUAUUGGAGAGUGUUUGAGGUACGGACGCACAGCCUGGUGAUCCACCUGUUUAGGACACCCUUUCUGCUAUUCGGAGUGCUCCUCUCUUUCCGGAGCUUAUACUUUUGGUAUAUAUAUAUUUAUUAGUGCAUUUGUAUAUAUUCAUUCAUGGGUACGGCGGGGCCCUGUCCCGUCAUAUGAUUCUGUCGGUCUGUUUAGAGGUCUGUGGACAUGUUUGUGGGUUAGGGUCUUUCUGUAUGGAUGUAUGUACAUGUCGUUUGGGCGAUCCCAUACGCCGAGGCGGCCGGUCCGCAUAUGUUGUUUGGGCGAUCCUAUACGCCGAGGCGGCCGGUCCGCAUAUGUUUAUAUAUUGCUUGGUUAGCCCUGUGUGGCUUUUGUUGGUAUUUUCUGCGUGCAGGGUAUAUUGGAUAGUCCGUAAAACAAAGG